CACGGGGGGAGCAAGCGUUGUUCGGAUUCAUUGGGCGUAAAGGGCUCGUAGGUGGCUUUGUAAGUCGGGUGUGAAAUCCCCGGGCUUAACCUGGGAACUGCAGUCGGGACUGUCUAGCUAGAGUAUGGGAGAGGGAAGUGGAAUUUCAGGUGUAGCGGUGAAAUGCGUAGAUAUCUGAAGGAACAUCAGUGGCGAAAGCGACUUCCUGGACCAAUACUGACGCUCAUGUGCGAAAGCGUGGGGAGCAAACAGG
rnacentral:rRNA from 1 species